rnacentral:rRNA from 1 species
AGUGAACGCUGGCGGUAGGCCUAACACAUGCAAGUCGAACGGCAGCACAGUAAGAGCUUGCUCUUACGGGUGGCGAGUGGCGGACGGGUGAGGAAUACAUCGGAAUCUACUUUUUCGUGGGGGAUAACGUAGGGAAACUUACGCUAAUACCGCAUACGACCUACGGGUGAAAGCAGGGGAUCUUCGGACCUUGCGCGAUUGAAUGAGCCGAUGUCGGAUUAGCUAGUUGGCGGGGUAAAGGCCCACCAAGGCGACGACCCGUAGCUGGUCUGAGAGGAUGUCCGCCCAACCGGGAACUAGGCACGGAUCCAGACCCCUACGGGGGGCCGAUGGGGGGAUUUUUGGAAAAGGGGCGCAAGCCUGCUCCAGCCAUCCCGCGGGGGUGAAGAAGGCCUUCGGGUUGUAAAGCCCUUUUGUUGGGAAAGAAAAGCAGCAGGUUAAUCCCCCGCUGUUCUGACGGUACCCAAAAAAUAAGCACCGGCUAACUUCGU